UGGUGGAGCAUGAUGUUUGGGAAUAACUCUGGUCCCCUCGAAGAUAAAUACUCUGUGACCACGCAGAUUGUGAUGGGAGGGGUCACUGGCUGAUAGCGAAUCACAGUGGCUAUGUGCAGGUGGACUGGAAGAAAGUGGAGAAGGACGUGAACAAAGCAAAGAAACACCUGAAGAAGAGAACCAAGCAAGCAGCCCCUGAAAUGAACUCCUUCUUUGAGGAGGUAAAGGUAGUAAUAACACUGCCUGACUAAUCAUAACUUUAUGGCUAUUGUGCCUAUAGUAUUUUGAUUCUAAAAGGUGAACAUGUCUGAGAUGUGUGCGUGCUCAUUGGUCCUUUAUUUAACUGUUCAUUUAUUCUGUGAGACCAACACUGGUACCUGGGUGUGGGAGCUGCUUUUUGAUUCAAUUGGAUUGCCAGUCCGCUUGAAUCUCAGUGCCUUGCAUUGCAUGUACUUAUGAGGAAAAAAAGGUAUAGUUAAUUAUCAUAUUUUGGGGGAAAUAGCUAAGUUCAUAAAUACCUGAGUCAUCCGUAGCCAUUUGAUGGACUAAUAAUGCAGCAACAGCGCCCUCUAGCGAACUCACACUGUAAAAGCACAUUCCUGGAUUUAUCACAAGCAGAAACAAAAGUAUACCCUGCGUAUAUGAUUCUUAUUUUUCCAUCUAUUAUCACUUAUAACCCUUCAGUUAUUGGAGGUGACCUCCCACAGUCUGCUUGUUUUCUCUCCUCCUUCCCCUCUCUGCAGGCCACAGAGUUUGUCAAGAAGAACAUUGUCCUGUCCAGCGGGUUUGUGGGUGGAUUCCUCCUGGGCUUGGCCUCCUAAUGGCGUUGGGGCCAAUUCACGACUGAGGAAGUCGUUACAUCGGAAGAAGAAAGCUGUCACUGUGAACUGAAUCUCCACACGGGAUGUUGUCAUUAACUGUGAAUCGUUGUCUUUCUCCCAGCACAGAACUAGUCAUGAAACGGGUUUGGGAGGAGGCUGAACAUGUGAAGCUGCCACUUUAUGCCCCCCUGGCUGCUCUCUUCCAUUACUGCCCAACUGAUCAGAGUCGAGCUUGUCCACCCUCUUUUUAUUCUAUUUAUCUGGUGGUUUCUGAUCCAGGAUCAGUUGUUUGGGCCUGUUGAAUAUGACAUUUUUAUACUUCAUAAUCAGCACUACCCCCAACAUCAAUGUAUGUGAAAAUGUCACGUUUCUAUGUUUUGAAUCAGCUAUAUUAUAUAUAUAUUUGUUCACUGUCAUAUGGUGUGCAUCAUGUGAUUUGAAUCAAUCACUGAGCAAUGCCUACUCAUAACUGGUUGAAAUCAUGAUGCACACCGGAUGAUGCCAUUACAGAAACUAAUUUUGACUUCAAAACAUAGAAACAUGACAUUUUCACAUAUGUUGAUGUUAUGGUAGUUCUGGAGAUGAUGAAUAUAAUGUUGAAAAUGUUAGAAAUGUCCCUUUAAGUGCACAACGCAACACCUCUUGAUACACUAUGAUAUACUGUACCACACACUGGACAUAGGAUUACUCGGCCCCUGUCUAUCUGGUGCACUCUUUUACCUGGAAGAACAGGUCUAGGAUCAGGAAUGUGUCCCAAAUGCCCAUAGUGCACUACAUUUGACCAGAGCCCUAUGUAGGAAAUAGGGUGCCAUUUGGGACACUGGCCAGCUCUCCCUAUACUCAGACCAAAGUUUUACCACCAUGUGCUAUUCAACAAAAGGUGUCUGCAGACCUGUUGUUACGGGCUUAAUAUACCAACACCUGAUCACUGCACCUUUGCUGGCUAAUGUACUGUAGGUAUAUCUGUGUGCAGAUUAGCGUUUUUCAUAAAGAAUCUUGUUCUGGGGGCAGCUCUGCAGAAUGGUCACUAGCUGGCACAGCCACAAAAUCUGAUUUUAAAUCUAACUGUAACCACACUGUUAACCCUAACGCCUAACCUUAAAUUUAGACCAAAAAGUUAAAUGUAGUUUUCAUGAAUUUUUACAAUCUAGCCAAUUCUGACUUUGCAGCUGGCCUAUCUAGCAGAUUCGCUUAGUUCUGCCUCCAGGACAAGACUCAUUCCAAAAAAUGUGAACCUGCUAUCAGUGUAGUAAUAGGAAAACAUGUGAUUUAGUCAUGUGUAGAAUAUACUAUCAGUUUUAUAGAUAGAAGGAAAUGCACAGUAUAAAGUCAGUGUUCAGUUGCUUAUGAGUUGUUCCAUAUUGUGUCUUUAACUAUUAAAUAUUCCUUGUCAGGAGUAUGAUUUUCCAUUAGUUUCUGUACUUCACCAAGUGCACAUUAACUUCUUACUGCCAUUAACCUCUAUAUGUUCUGACCUCCUGAAUGCUGUUUUGAAAUCUUGAUAACCAACCAACCAUAACUAUGGAUUUGUCUUAUGUUUCUGUUUUGUCAAAUAAAGUUGCCUGAUUUUUGUUGGUUAGCAAUGUUAA